UACGUAGGGCGCAAGCGUUGUCCGGAUUUAUUGGGCGUAAAGAGCGUGUAGGCGGCCAGGUAGGUCUGCUGUGAAAACUCGAGGCUCAACCUCGAGACGUCGGCGGAAACCAUCUGGCUAGAGUCCGGAAGAGGAGAGUGGAAUUCCUGGUGUAGCGGUGAAAUGCGCAGAUAUCAGGAAGAACACCCGUGGCGAAGGCGGCUCUCUGGGACGGUACUGACGCUGAGACGCGAAAGCGUGGGGAGCGAACAGG
rnacentral:rRNA from 1 species